rnacentral:rRNA from 1 species
UUCCCAUCCCGAACACGGAAGUUAAGCUUUUCAGCGCCGAUGGUAGUAGGGGGCUUCCCCCUGUGAGAGUAGGUCGUUGCCGGGC